rnacentral:rRNA from 5 species
AAAUUGAAGAGUUUGAUCAUGGCUCAGAUUGAACGCUGGCGGCAGGCCUAACACAUGCAAGUCGAACGGUAACAGGAAGCAGCUUGCUGCUUCGCUGACGAGUGGCGGACGGGUGAGUAAUGUCUGGGAAACUGCCUGAUGGAGGGGGAUAACUACUGGAAACGGUGGCUAAUACCGCAUAAUGUCGCAAGACCAAAGAGGGGGACCUUCGGGCCUCUUGCCAUCAGAUGUGCCCAGAUGGGAUUAGCU